rnacentral:rRNA from 1 species
AUGGGUGUUAUCAGAGUGUGCUCAGACUGCAACACCUCCAAUACCCCCUUGUGGAGGAGUGGUCCUUGUGGCCCCAAGUCUCUUUGCAACGCAUGCGGCAUACGCCAAAGGAAGGCUCGCCGCGCCAUGGCUGCAGCGGCGGCCACUGCCGCCACCAACGAUGGGGUGGCGUCUGCUUCCAGUGGCGGUGUGGCGGUGGGGGCCGUGCAGGCAAGCGACGCAUCACAAGCGGUGAAGGCAACAAAGAAGGAGAAGAGGGCUGCGGAACUUGACCGGUCGCUGCCGUUCAAGAAGAGGUGCAAGAUGGUUGAUCAUCCUACCGUUACCACCACCAAGGCCGUGGCUGUCGAUGCCACUUUGAAGGAUCAAGAUCACGUUGUCGCCGAGAACGGCGCCAUGGUGGAGAGACUGAGCAAAGCCGAUCCGCCAGCAGCAUUCACUCACGCCUUCAUGCGCGACGAGAUCACCGAUGCCGCCAUGCUGCUCAUGACCCUAUCGUGCGGUCUUGUUCGCAGCUAG